rnacentral:rRNA from 1 species
CACUUUCAGCAACGGAUCUCUUGGCUCUCGCAUCGAUGAAGAACGCAGCGAAAUGCGAUAAGUAAUGUGAAUUGCAGAAUUCAGUGAAUCAUCGAAUCUUUGAACGCACCUUGCGCUCCUUGGUAUUCCGAGGAGCAUGCCUGUUUGAGUCUCAUG